UACGGGAGGCAGCAGUGGGGAAUAUUGCACAAUGGGCGAAAGCCUGAUGCAGCUAUGCCGCGUGUAUGAAGAAGGCCUUAGGGUUGUAAAGUACUUUCAUCGGGGAGGAAAAAACAAAACUAAUAAUUUUAUUUCUUGACGUUACCCGAAAAAGAAGCACCGGCUAACUCCGUGCCAGCAGCCGCGGUAAUACGGAGGGUGCUAGCGUUAAUCAGAAUUACUGGGCGUAAAGAGCACGUAGGUGGUUUUUUUAAGUCAGAUGUGAAAUCCCUGGGCUUAACCUAGGAACUGCAUUUUGAAACUGAAAUACUAGAGUAUCGUAGAGGGAGGUAGAAUUCUAGGUGUAGCGGUGAAAUGCGUAGAUAUCUGGAGGAAUACCUGUGGCGAAAGCGGCCUCCUAAACGAAUACUGACACUGAGGUGCGAAAGCGUUGGGGAGCAAACAGGGAUUUAGAUACC
rnacentral:rRNA from 1 species